AAAAAAACGGUGAAGGGAAGAAGAUAUGACCGGAUGGGCUAAGAGAGUCGCUGGCUGGUGUAAAGCGAUGUCAAUGGUUAUAUGCAUACUGAUCCCGGAGUUGCCUUUCCGAUAUGUAGGGAAGGACGUGUGGUCACGUUACAGGCAAAGGCCUUGUUGGAGGCUGAGAGGACAGCAUUGCUGAAGUGCUGUUGAAAUAGGGUGGUACAGCGUGGAAUUGUUCCCCGCCCCUAAU
rnacentral:ncRNA from 1 species